AAAGAGGGCAAGGAGUAGUUUAAUAUAGAAUUUCAGCUUUGGGUGUUGAAGGUGGGGUUUGGGCCCUCUCCUUG
rnacentral:tRNA from 1 species